AACGAACGCUGGCGGCAGGCCUAAAACAUGCAAGUCGAACGAUCUAGCAAUAGAUAGUGGCGCACGGGUGAGUAACACGUGGAAUAUCCCUUUCACUACGGAACAACGUCGGGAAACUGACGCUAAUACCGUAUAAUGUCUCCGGACCAAAGAUUUAUCGGUGAAAGAUUAGCCCGCGUCUGAUUAGCUAGUUGGUGAGGUAACGGCUCACCAAGGCAACGAUCAGUAGCUGGUCUGAGAGGAUGAUCAGCCACACUGGAACUGAGACACGGUCCAGACUCCUACGGGAGGCAGCAGUUAGGAAUAUUGGACAAUGGGGGCAACCCUGAUCCAGCCAUGCCGCGUGUGUGACGAAGGCCUUAGGGUUGUAAAGCACUUUCGUCUACGAAGAUAAUGACAGUAGUAGAAGAAGAAGCUCCGGCUAAAUUCGUGCCAGCCGCCGCGGUAA
rnacentral:rRNA from 1 species